GAUGAACGCUGGCGGCGUGCCUAAUACAUGCAAGUCGAGCGAACAGACGAGGAGCUUGCUCCUCUGACGUUAGCGGCGGACGGGUGAGUAACACGUGGAUAACCUACCUAUAAGACUGGGAUAACUUCGGGAAACCGGAGCUAAUACCGGAUAAUAUAUUGAACCGCAUGGUUCAAUAGUGAAAGACGGUUUUGCUGUCACUUAUAGAUGGAUCCGCGCCGCAUUAGCUAGUUGGUAAGGUAACGGCUUACCAAGGCAACGAUGCGUAGCCGACCUGAGAGGGUGAUCGGCCACACUGGAACUGAGACACGGUCCAGACUCCUACGGGAGGCAGCAGUAGGGAAUCUUCCGCAAUGGGCGAAAGCUUGACGGAGCAACGCCGCGUGAGUGAUGAAGCUCUUCGGAUCGUAAAACUCUGUUAUUAGGGAAGAACAAAUGUGUAAGUAACUAUGCACGUCUUGACGGUACCUAAUCAGAAAGCCACGGCUAACUACGUG
rnacentral:rRNA from 1 species